rnacentral:ncRNA from 2 species
UCGUGACAUCACGGGAGUCCGGUGAACCGGACUGAGAGGAGGGCUUCGAGCCCUCGACCGUCUGAACCUGAUCUGGGUCAUGCCAGCGCAGGGAGACAGCAUCAUCUCAAU